CUUUUCUGUGAAGAUGACAAACAGCUUGUGUGUUUGGUGUGUCGAGACUCAAAACUCCACAAGAACCACAACUUCAGUCCUAUCAGUGAAGCAGCACUUGAGCGUAAGGAGGAACUGAAGAUCAAACUGGAGCCCUUACAGAAGAAGCUGGACAACUUUAAACAAGUUAAAACAACCAGUGAUGAAACUGCCCAACACAUAAGAGUCCAGGCCCAACACACAGAGAGCCAGAUCAA